ACUCUUGUUUCUCUUCAGAUCGUAUAAAUGUUUCGCCUUUUACUAAAGAUUUCCGUGGAGAGGAACAGCAAGAGAUUUUAGCAGUUUCUUGAUGCCCUGCUUAACUGUGGGGCU
ensembl:snRNA U5 U5 spliceosomal RNA